ensembl:lncRNA
CAGAAAUCGAAUAUCAAUAUUAUUUUAGUCUAAUUACAUUGUGUAUAUGCACAAGCCAUCUUAUACAAAGCAGCGAAAAAUAGAAAACCGAAACGCUGCAAUGUUUUUUUGUAGAAAAUUGCUUUUAUGUUUAUACUGGUUUUCUUUGACUUUUAGAGACACGUCAGUGUAAUUAUGAAUGGCGAGAGCCCUGAAAUACAGCUGGACAGCAGCGGUCUACAUCACUGCCCCUUCUGCAGAUACAAAGGGUCAAAAUGUGAUAUCGACCAUCACAUUAAAUGCCAUGCCUCGGUUAAAUACAGAGGUCUGCAGAGGAGCUUUCAGGAAGCAGGAAGAGAAGACGGGAGGAAAAAAAAGCUACAGGAAGAUUAUGUUGUCCUGAAGGACACAAUUCAGGCAGCAGCAUGGUGCCAGUUACAGUCCUUCAAGGACAGCGUUUCUCUCCCAGAGGUCAUUGGGAUGGAAGGUUGGGAGCAGAUGGCAGCUUCAACACAGCGCAAAUCCCAUGACGGCGGGGAUGAGGAAGAAACGUGGAAACCAUUCCAAUUCUCAUUCAGAUUACAUACUGACUAUGAACUGUUCUGUGUGGAGAGGAUGGACAGGAGAAACCUGAAGGUGUUUGCCUCUUUUGAGUCAAACACCUCUCCCCCUCCCCGUCCCCCCUUCCCGUGACGCCUGCGCCACACGACUCCAAUGUAGUCUGAUGAUGCAGCAUAAUGGCGGCGCUUGGCAGCUAUGGCGGCGGUGACGGCGAUGUCGGGCGACAGAGCGUGAAGCAAGAGUGGCAUCCACCUCACUGAGGAAGGCGUCAGUGUGUUCCCCCUUUGUUGUUUGACUUUGUUUGUUCUACUCUUUAUUGAUUUAUCUUUCUUGUUUAUAGUUUACAAUCUAUUUUUUGUAGUUGUUAUUUUUUAAUUGUUUUGUUGAAUGAAAAGACAGUUGUUAUUGCUCCUGUGAUUGGUGUAACUUAAUGUGCUUCACACAUGUAGCUUUUCAUUAUGUCUAUUGAGGUACAUUUUUUGCCCUUAGAUGUGGUCACUUCGUUAUUCCUCACAUUACAUCUGUUAAGGUCAUACCUUUGGGUCUCAGUCUUCAUAGUUCCCCAAAUCUUAUUUUGGCUCUUACUGGGCCUGUAACUCACGGGUACAGGAGUUCGGACACGUUGCAUUGUUU